AUAUUAAUAAGCGGAGGAAAAGAAACUAACAAGGAUUCCCUUAGUAACGGCGAGCGAAAAGGGAAGAGCCCAGCGCCGAAUCUCAUGCCCCCCGGGUAUGAAGACAUGUGGCGUUUGGGACAAGGCAUUGCCUGUGCAGGAUAAUUGUCCAAGUCCCUCUUGAACGGGGGC
rnacentral:rRNA from 1 species